GCCUCGGUAGCUUAUAUGGUAAAGCGUUCGGUUGAAGCCCGAAAGCAGGGGGUUCAAGUCCCUCCCUUGGCAC
rnacentral:tRNA from 4 species